CUACACUUGUCUGUACCAAGGCACUUUCUCCAGCUUCUGUCCACUGAAAGAUCUAUUAUUGAUUAUAAGCAAUAAUAUGAGGCCCUAUGGAUUGAUGUGGACAAUUUUAACCAUUAGUAACAUAUCAAUGGCUCAAGGAACUCCUCUUUCUCGAAAAUUAAAAAAAGAGGGAUCAAUGGAUAUACGACCUGUGAACGCAGUACUGGACGCUCUUCGGAGGAAUUACACAGUGUUGGCCAUUAUGGAACAAACAUUUCAGG